rnacentral:lncRNA from 10 species
AAAAACCUGCUCUACAGGACAACUGACUAAUAAAUGUUGAAGCUCUGAAGCAAAAAGCAUUUGCUUAACCCAGUUUAAUUAUUUCUAAAUGACUCAAAAACAACUCUCAGAAACUUAGGAGGCCAAUAAGCACUGAAACACGUUCUUUCCAUCAGCAGAGAGGGCUUAGAGGACUCUCCAAACAACAUCCUCUCUCACCCUACAUUUGAAACUGAAGACAAGCCAAGAGCUACCAAAUGUAACCUUAGCCACGCAGAACCCAUUUGAAGCAAGCGGAGUACAGCAACAUUCUCUUGAUUAAGUUUCCUUUUGAGCAAGAUCAAGGGAGUGGUGAAAACCCAGCACUUGACUUUUAAGUCACAGAGAAUGGUAUUUAAUGAUUGAUUCUGUGCUUCUCCAAGACAACUCUACCCAGGGGGUACCCACCAUCACCUCAGUUCACAUCACUGUGACUCAACUUCCCAUCUCUGCUGAGAACUUAGGCACCCCACACACUUUGGGAGCUGGAAUACCUCCCAUGGACACCAGCCCUUUAAGUAGCCUGUGACAGAGGACACCAGAGUCAGGGACAUGGAUUUUAAAGAACUAUGUAGCUUAAGGGCCUACCCUUAUCCCUUAAUCAAAGGGUGAAAAUUUUCAAAGCACAACCCAAGUUACUCACAUAAAGCAUAUUACAACCCCUGAUGUUCACCUUUGGAACUCCGCCGCCAUGCUGCGUGGAAGCCAACAAGCCAUGGAGGGGUGCACGUGGACAGAAGACAGGGCUCCCCUCACCCCGGGUCUUCUGAUGACCCACCCCCAGCCCAAGCUCCCAGCUGCCAGUCAUGUGAGUGAGCCGUCUUGAAGGUGGACCCCCCAGCCUCCACUCGACCCACCCCAGCUGAUGGUAUGCAGAACAGACCUGAGCCCUCCCACCUGGACCAGCUCAGAUUAGAGAUUUGUGAGAAAACGGGGCGACUAUUGCCUUUUCUCAACAUGCACUCCUCUUUGAAGGGCAGACUAGCAGCAGUGUUUCAAAGUGCACGUUUGAUUAAUGUUUUUAAAGCCAAUUUUUCCUGUGAAGAGUGACCUAAAUUGCCAGACAUUUUCUUCUUGAACAAAAUCAAAAACUUCCUACUUUUGUCCUCUGACUGAGAAAGGUGUGUCCAUGUAUGUAAUAUCCAACCAUUUUUUCCGAAGGAGAAGGGAUAUCUGAUUUGAGCACUGCAUCGUGCACGUCUCUGGGCGGAAAACAAUGAACUGGGCCACCUAAUUGGCAUAUCCAAAAGAAAAAUAUAAGUGAUAAAAGCCAAUGCAUGAAAAACAAAUCCAAGACAGAGGCAGGAUGUGUACAUUUACUUGAGAAAUUGUUAAAAGCAACUUAAAUUACAAACUCCUUUCCUUCAGAGCCUCAGCACCACCCCUGUCAGUAUACUGCACAUCCAUUUUACUAGAUGGAUAUUCCAGAGUCCAAGAUGUAUUACAUCUUUCCACCGACCUUGUCAAAACACGCCUUUUCCAUCACGAGAAGUAAUAAAGUAACAGCAUAACCUAGAUCAACAAGAUCUGACACACAGACUGACACAGUAGCACAAACUCACCUGGAAAAGGAAUUUUUAAUUAAAAGAAGCAACUCAUGGCCGGGCGCGGUGGCUCAUGCCUGUAAUCCCAGCACUUUCGGAGGCCGAGGCGGGCGGAUCACGAGGCUAUGUUGUAUGAAAAGUGCAUUACUACACUCCAUGUGGCAAGAUGCCUGCAUUAUGAAAGUCGCAUGGGAACUGACGCCAUCUGAGCAAAGAACAUGGGCUGCUGACAUAUCCUUCCCUGAAGCCAGAUGGAUGGGUGGAUAGAUGUGCUGGUACUACUCAAAUGUCCGGGGAUGAAUUGAGACAAGAGUGACCAUUCAGAGCCAAGGGAGGUAUUGGGAAGAGAAGCAUCCUGUUGGUCAAAUGCAAGGGGCGACUGUGAAGUCCCAAUCUGGUUCCAACACUAUUACUCUAGUGAUAGUGUCUCCAGCUCUAUCACUGCCACCCACAGCUCUCUGAUUCUACACACUCAAGCCUCACCCCACCCCUGGCCCAGCAGAGUUUUUCCCUGUUCCCAGGGCUCCUUGAGGGCUACUGUUCCUGAAUGAAGUGUCACAGCCUUCUCUUCCUGAUCCAUCCAGAGAUAUCCUAUUUAUCUAGUAAACCCCAGCCCACAGGUCAACCCUUCUGUGAAGCUUCUCCUGUCUGUGAGCCACACUAGCACAGUGGUUAAAGACACAGACAUGAAAGUCCAAUGACAAGGGCUGAGGAGAAGCAGCAGGGCAAGGUUGCCAUGUGCAUGGCCCGGAGAGCCACAUGGCUGGGGUCUGAAUCCUGCCUCAUUACUCUCAAUGAUGAAAUAGAAUAGAGUAGUAGCUACUUCAGAGGUCUACUUUGGAGCUUAUAUAAAGCACCUAGAACAAUACCCAGCAAGUAUUUGUUUAAUAAAGUCCUAAAACC